rnacentral:rRNA from 1 species
UACGGGGGUGGCAAGCGUUGUUCGGAAUUACUGGGCGUAAAGGGCGCGUAGGCGGGGAGGUAAGUCGGGUGUGAAAUCCUGAGGCUCAACCUCGGGCGUGCGAUGGAUACUGCCGGGCUAGAGGGUGGUAGAGGCGAGUGGAAUUCCCGGUGUAGCGGUGAAAUGCGCAGAUAUCGGGAGGAACACCAGUAGCGAAGGCGGCUCGCUGGGCCACACCUGACGCUGAGACGCGAAAGCUAGGGGAGCGAACAGG